UUGAGCGGAGAUAUAUGGAGCUUGCUUUAUAUAACUUAGCAGCGAACGGGUGAGUAACACGUAGAUAAUCUAUCCUAUACUGGGGGAUAGCCCGAUGAAAGUUGGAUUAAUACCGCAUAUAGCUAUAUAGUUGCAUGAUUAUGUAGUGAAAGAUUUAUUGGUAUAGGAGGAGUCUGCGGCACAUUAGCUAGUAGGUGAGGUAAAGGCUUACCUAGGCGACGAUGUGUAGCCGGUCUGAGAGGAUGAACGGCCACAAUGGAACUGAGACACGGUCCAUACUCCUACGGGAGGCAGCAGUGGGGAAUAUUGCACAAUGGGGGAAACCCUGAUGCAGCAACGCCGCGUGAGUGAAGAAGGUUUUCGGAUUGUAAAGCUCUGUUAGCAGGGAAGAGGAAGGACGGUACCUGCAGAGGAAGCCACGGCUAACUACGUGCCAGCAGCCGCGGUAAUACGUAGGUGGCAAGCGUUGUUCGGAAUAACUGGGCGUAAAGGAUGCGUAGGCGGUUAAACAAGUUAUAUGUUAAAUAUAUAGGCUUAACCUGUAGAAAGCAUAUAAAACUGUUUAACUAGAGUGCAGGAGAGGUAAGUGGAAUUCCUAGUGUAGCGGUGAAAUGCGUAGAGAUUAGGAAGAACACCAGUGGCGAAGGCGACUUACUGGACUGUAACUGACGCUGAGGCAUGAGAGCAUGGGGAGCAAACAGGAUUAGAUACCCUGGUAGUCCAUGCUGUAAACGAUGGGUACUAGGUGUGGGUUGUGAAUAACAAUUCGUGCCGUCGCAAACGCAAUAAGUACCCCGCCU
rnacentral:rRNA from 1 species